CAGUCUCUGCCUGUGGCGACUCUGGCUGGGGUUUUUGGUCACACUGACAUACUGAUGAAUUUCAUUUCCAUCCCACAGGAGUAAGAGAGGAAGCGAUGGGCUGGACUAUGAUUCUAAAAAAUGACUUUGGGGUCAUCGCCUGGACUCGGCACACUGCAAAGUUGGUCAGCCUCUUCCUCCUCUUGUCUCUUUUUACUAUUCCAAUCCCUUCAACAGACACAGUUCUACCCAGGGACCAGCAUUUCUCAUGGAAAGCAGGUCUUUCUCCAUGCUUUGUUGUUGGGGAGGUUGGGUUACCAUACAUGACAUCCAAGAUGAUCGCAAGACUAACGGCAGUGGUUGUUGUUGGAAACCCAAAACUGAAGAAACUAGAGUCCAUUUUCACUUUUCAGUGACAAAGGCUAAAUAUUACAGUGUCCCCUUGUCUAACAGGGGAUACAUUCCAAAAAUAACCCACGACAGGUGAAAUCCACAAAACGGAAUUACAGAUGUUUCAAGGCUGUAAAACUCCUCACUACACACAGCCCGACAUGAACUUUUUUACAUUUUUC
rnacentral:lncRNA from 1 species